AAUGAACGCUGGCGGUAGGCCUAACACAUGCAAGUCGAACGGCAGCACAGUAAGAGCUUGCUCUUACGGGUGGCGAGUGGCGGACGGGUGAGGAAUACAUCGGAAUCUACUUUUUCGUGGGGGAUAACGUAGGGAAACUUACGCUAAUACCGCAUACGACCUACGGGUGAAAGCAGGGGAUCUUCGGACCUUGCGCGAUUGAAUGAGCCGAUGUCGGAUUAGCUAGUUGGCGGGGUAAAGGCCCACCAAGGCGACGAUCCGUAGCUGGUCUGAGAGGAUGAUCAGCCACACUGGAACUGAGACACGGUCCAGACUCCUACGGGAGGCAGCAGUGGGGAAUAUUGGACAAUGGGCGCAAGCCUGAUCCAGCCAUACCGCGUGGGUGAAGAAGGCCUUCGGGUUGUAAAGCCCUUUUGUUGGGAAAGAAAAGCAGCAGGCUAAUACCCCGCUGUUCUGACGGUACCCAAAGAAUAAGCACCGGCUAACUUCGUG
rnacentral:rRNA from 1 species